GAUGAACGCUGGCGGCGUGCCUAAUACAUGCAAGUCGAGCGAACGGACGAGAUGCUUGCUUCUCUGAUGUUAGCGGCGGACGGGUGAGUAACACGUGGAUAACCUACCUAUAAGACUGGGAUAACUUCGGGAAACCGGAGCUAAUACCGGAUAAUAUUUUUAACCGCAUGGUUCAAAAGUGAAAGACGGUCUUGCUUUCCCUUAUAGUUGUAUCCCCUCUGCAUUGGCUGUUUGGUAAGGUAACGGCUUACCAAGGCAACGAUGCAUAGCCGACAUGAGAGGGUGGACGGCCACACGGGAACUGAGCAACGGUCCAGACUCCUACGGGAGGCAGCAGUAGGGAAUCUUCCGCAAUGGGGGAAGGCCGAACGGAGCAACGCGGCGGGAUGGAUGAAGUUCUUCGGAUCGUAAAACUCUGUUAUAAGGGAGGACCAUAUGUGUAAGUAACAGUGCACAAAGUGACGGUACCUAAUCAGAAAGCCACGGCUAACUACGUG
rnacentral:rRNA from 1 species